CUGGGGAUCAGGACAAGACCACUUCACUUUGUAUGACUCGCUGUAUACUGUAUCGAUGAGUCUCAUUUGAAUAAUCAGAUUAACUACUGGUAAAUUCAUUAGAAGAAAAAAAAGAGGAAUCAAAGGAACUUAAGUUUACCUUGGACCACAUACUUUUACAGGGAUCUCAUGUUAUAAGGACGUUAACUGCAGAAGUAAUAAAUCUGUAUAGAGUCUCCAAAAUUACAGAGGCAGAGCCCAGGGAGAAAAUCGACGUUGAGAACAAUCAUAGGAUGCAGUUUAAGUACCUCGAGUGGUAAAAAUCAUUUUGGGCAAUAAAGUUCUGGAGAGGGCGGAAAAUAUUUUAGGAUACUUUCAUUGGGAGAAUUCUUGGAGGGAGGCUUGUUAUCUUUCCAAGAAGGAGAGUAAUUCGGAAUUUUAGUGUGUUUUUGGAAAAAAAUAUAAUAGAAUAUGUAAGCAAACAUUUCAAGGCAGAUAAAGGUAUUGGCCAGAUGGUAUUAGCAGAAAGACUUUUGUUUUGGCAAAGAAUGAAAUAGCACCCUAUUUCCUCCUUUUGGGGAAAAUACAUGGAAAAAUCAGGACCGUAACCAGAGCCUCUUACAAGAGGAAGAAUAGUCCUAAUACCUAAAAAGGGCAACGGCACCGAUUUCAACCAUUGGAGGCCAAUAACAAUAUUAAAUGUUGCAUAAAGGAUUCUACCAGGUGUACUAUCAAAACAAAUUGCCCCUAUUUCGAACGUGAACCUUGGUAAUGAGCAGAAUGGUUUUUUAAAAGGAAAGUGAAUAUUAGAUAUUUUAUGGAAUACCCUAUUCGCAAUUGAAGUAGUGUCGGAAAGAGGAUCAUAUGGAGCGUUGAUUGGUGUUGACUUUUCCAAAGCUUUUUGACUCUAUAAAACAUAAGUAAGUCAUGAGUGCUGUUCAAAAACUUCUACCAAAUAAAUAAUUCAAUUCAAUAAGAGCUCUAUUGUAUAUUGGGACAUGACUGUCACGGUAGGCAAUCUUGAAGGAAUGGGGAUCAAAAUAAAGAGAAGUUGUCGUCAUAGUGGCCCCGUGUCACCGCUACUCUUCAUUGCUGCUCUGAACGAACUUACGAAAAUAAUCCAACGUAAAUACAGGGGUUUGGAGGAAGUUUUGGACAACAGAAGCAUGUCAUCGACCUUUAUACUGAUGAUAUUACUUUAAUGAUUGAAGCAAACUCAGAAAACAAUUAAAAAAGAGGAUUGAAAUUAUAUUGAAUUAUUUUGAUAUUUUUGAGGCAGUCGGAAAAAUUACAUGUAGGGGCAGUUUCACUAAUGAAAAAGCUGUAAUACUUGGAUUAUAAUGGAACAAAAAUGACGAUUCUGACAAAAAUUGGUCCAAAUCGAAUGGAUACAUUUUGAUAGAAAUGCAUGAUUGGAGACAUUUGAACCUCCAAAAACGUAUUGAUAUUUACAAUACCUAGGUUGUUCCUAUAGUUUUAUAUAAGGGGGCAUCAAAUCCAAGAUUGGAUGAAUUAAGUUUGAAUUAAGAAAAGUCUUGCUCAGAAACACUUCUUCCCAGUAGAUAUAUUCCUGCUCUGUAACGGCCGAAGAAGUAUCUAGUUGGAGGCCCAGUUUUGUUGGAAAAAGUUGUGCAAAAAGAUGUAUAAAAAUAUAUUCAUUGAUGUCAUAAAAAGUCAAAGAUGCUACAUGGAAAGGAUAUAUCUCUUCAAAAGGAGGUCUUAAGUGGAUGUUGUUUCUUACAAAUUGAUCAAACAAUCAUAUUAGAGAUAUAUAAAAACCAUUGUCUAUAGCAGUGAAAAUUAUGUGGAGAGGUUCUCCAGUGUACGACUCGAGUUCCACAAUGGACAUCAUCCACCAAAAUUAUAAAAGGAAGUACUUCUCAGAGCAACAAGAAGAUGCAGCAUGUUUGGAGUGGGUAGCGGUGGAGAAAAAUAUAAUCACUGAUAUAUCCACGACGCGUUCUCGGAUAAUAGUUAUCAAAGGGAAGUUACUAUAUCCGUUAAAAAGAAGCUCAGAGCGGAACCAAGCCCUGGCACUUUGGUCCGUGAAACUUAAAUGAGGAGAAAUUGCAUUAAACGAACCAAUUAAGGUGGCCAAUGAAUACAUGAGACUUCUAAAACUUCCACUAAUCUGGAUCAAUAUAAUAUUAAGAUCCACAUGUGGAAUCUUGGACGGUCGUAAAUUUACGGCUCAUUUACAAAUCUCAGCAGGAUGUAUCUCCUUCUAUAAAACGUGUACAGACUGUGGGAAAAUGUAUAAUUCCAUCAUCCACGCAUUUACUGAGUGCCCCCGUCUGGAAACACUUACAUCAUUUGUAUUUGGAAGUAUGAAGGGUCUCAUAAAUACAAAGUCAAGUUAUCUAUUGGCCAUUAUUCUUUUUGGAUUAUCUGUGAGAAGGAAUUCGCCACCCAAAACUAAGGCACUCUGCUAUGGACUUCGAAAUUCCAAGGCAUAUAUUGCCAAAAACUAACUUUGUGUGAGCCGAUCAGAGUAGAAGAUUUAAGAGGCAUUAUAAUAGAUGCCACAUCCAGAUACGUUGCUUUUAAUAUUAAAAUACCAAGAGUAUAUGGAAAUUUAUGACUUAGUGAGUUUCAUACCCUCUGAAUCAUAACGUCACCUGAAAAAUUUAAAACAAAUUGUGAAAUUUUUUAGAAAACAUAAUCGUUUCUCAGAUGAGCUAUAGCUGUGAAAAUUUUUAUUAUUGUAAUUUUUGUUAUAGGUUUUAUCGUUUCCCUAAUAUUUGUGUCCAUUCUUUAAAUAUUUUUGAUAAUUAUUUUCGUUCAUUCUUUUAAUUUUUAUUUUAUUUCCAAUAUUAUUAAAUGAAUACUUUAUUCUUGUAUAGAAUCUUUUAAAUUGAGGUUAAGAAUAAAAAAAAUUACAGAUGCUUUGGUCUAUCCCUGGAGUUGUAAUUUAAAAAAAAAAAAAAAAAAAAAAAAAAUGGAAAAUAUCGAUAAUAAUAUAAAUCAUUAAAAACUACGAACUGUCUAAAAGAUAGAAUAAAGCUAUUUUUGUAGGAAAAAUUGUGUUCAUUAGCAUAAACCUAUGUUCUGAAAGGAAGUUGAGACAAAAUUUUUAAUGAAUGAUCAUGCUCAAGCUUCACAGAGACGAAAUAGUUAAAAAUGAAUAUAAUAAACAUUCAA
rnacentral:lncRNA from 1 species